GACGAACGCUGGCGGCGUGCUUAACACAUGCAAGUCGAACGGAAAGGCCCUGCUUUUGUGGGGUGCUCGAGUGGCGAACGGGUGAGUAACACGUGAGUAACCUGCCCUUGACUUUGGGAUAACUUCAGGAAACUGGGGCUAAUACCGGAUAGGAGCUCCUGCUGCAUGGUGGGGGUUGGAAAGUUUCGGCGGUUGGGGAUGGACUCGGGGCUUAUCAGCUUGUUGGUGGGGUAGUGGCUUACCAAGGCUUUGAUGGGUAGCCGGCCUGAGGGGGUGACCGGCCACAUUGGGACUGAAAUACGGCCCGGACUCCUACGGGAGGCAGCAGUGGGGAAUAUUGCACAAGGGGCGGAAGCCUGAUGCAGCAACGCCGCGUGCGGGAUGACGGCUUUCGGGUUGUAAACCGCUUUCGCCUGUGACGAAGCGUGAGUGACGGUAAUGGGUAAAGAAGCACCGGCUAACUACGUG
rnacentral:rRNA from 1 species